UACAAAUAUGCCAACAAAUUUAAUCAAAUUUAAACUUAUUUCAUUACUUGUUAGUUUUUUAAACAUUUCUGUACUUGAAUAAUCAAUACAAAGUACCUGAAAUUCUAGUAACUAGUGCUAAGCACAAAUCAAAAGUUGACUCCGGGCUAGAAACCAACCACGUUAGACUUUCGUCAAGAAAAACUAGCAACGUUAUCAAUUUCAAACAAGUUACGAUCCACGAUAUCAAAUCUUUGGAUAAAGUCGACUUGGAAAAUUGUGAAAUAGAUUUCAAAGUGAGUUUCAGAAACUGCAAACAAAAAAGUUCGGUCGUGUUAGGUUAUGCCAAGUUUGAUUUGAAAGAAUUCCUUUUAACAAAAAACCUGUCUUGUUCGAGAGGUUUGGUAGUUUUUCUGAACGAAAACUCUCCAAUCGCGGUAGGCGUGCUAAAACUAUCACUGCAGUUGGGUUGCGGUAGAUUGUAUUUCGGACAAGAAUUCAUAGAGGCAGUUACAUCUAGUAAUAAGGAAACUGUCUUACUAGAUAGUGAUGAUAGUACCAACCACCUGCUGAAUGGGAGUUUUGGUCAUUCAAAACCUGAACCUGAAAAAAACAUUCGUUCUUUUGGAAAGCACACUGACUAUUCGAGUUCGAAUUCAUCCAAACAUACUUCGAAAGAAAAUACUUCUAGAAGACCGGACCAUGGAUCUCUUCCGAGCUGUGUUUUAGAAAGAAAACCUCCAAACUCGAUACAGGUCGAAACAACUGAAAGGAAUUCUUCAAAAAGGGUUUUGGCUAGCGAGAAAAAAGUUAGUGCCGAAAUCGCCGAAACACAAAAGUCUCAAGAAGUAGAUAGGUAUGUGCUCUUCAGUUUCUUCUACGUAUCUGAAGCCCAGUAUUUGAGUGGACCUGUAAGUUCUUUUAUCACUUGUCGACCAUUUUCUCAAACGGAAACGUCAGUCAGUCAAGUUGUUGUAAAUACAUCGAAUCCUACUUUCAAUUUCCAUCAGGUAAGUGAUCCCCAAUAAAAAAAAUCAAUAUUCAAAUAAUUACUCGAGUCAAUUUGAUAUAAUGGAAACGAUCGAUUUUCACUGCCUAUCGUCCAACCUGUACUGUGAAUCGCA
rnacentral:misc_RNA from 1 species